rnacentral:rRNA from 1 species
GUAGUCAUAUGCUUGUCUCAAAGAUUAAGCCAUGCAUGUCUAAGUUCAAGCGAAAAUAAAGUGAGACCGCGAAUGGCUCAUUACAUCAGUUAUGGUUCCUUAGAUCGCACUUACUACUUGGAUAACUGUGGUAAUUCUAGAGCUAAUACAUGCGCAGAGCCCCGACCCUCGUGGAAGGGGCGCUUUUAUUGGAUCAAAGCCAAUCGAGUUUCGGCUCGUUUCUUUGGUGACUCUGAAUAACUUUGCUGAUCGCAUGGUCUCGUACCGGCGACGUAUCUUUCAAGUGUCUGCCUUAUCAACUGUCGAUGGUAGGUUAUGCGCCUACCAUGGUUGCAACGGGUAACGGGGAAU